CGGAAGUUCAAGUCUUCCCAGGCCCACCACUUGAUCGAGUGCAUGUGUCUCUCUUGAGCUUGGCCUGUAGCAUUCGUCUUCUGGUUACGGGGCCAUAGCUCAGCUGGGAGAGCGCGUGCUUUGCAAGCAUGAGGUCGUCGGUUCGAUCCCGUCUGGCUCCACCACGCUUCGCCUGAAGGCUUCGCGUGGCGCAGCCACGCAGGAAAAACCGAAGCGUGCCCGGCGAAGCCCGUAAGAGCAAAGACGGGCUGCCGAUUGACCCGUAACCAUUCCGUCCGCGAAACAUCAAUUCGCACUCGCUGUCCGCAAUCGGAUGCGAUGUGCGUGUUUUCUGACAUCGUAAAGAGGAGAUCGAUCCGAGUUGGGUCGCAUGGAAAUUCUAUGCGCAUCCUUCACUAUCUCCAGAUCAUUUCGGCGCUUGCGCCUCCCGCAGACUAGCGUCUGUCGGAUACGCGAGUUGUAAAUGAUCUUGUUAGCGAAGCCUGACCGCCUCGCUAUCGGUUCGAUCUUACGAAGCAAGCUGGUCUUUCUAAUCAGUGUCCGCUGCACGAACUCUCCUGGUGAAGGUUCGUGCGGUAUGCAUUCUGCCGAGUGUGUGGACAUUGAUAAUGAGAGCAAUCAAGUGCCUUAAGGGUGUUCGGUGGAUGCCUUGGCGCUGAGAGGCGAUGAAGGACGUGCUACGCUGCGAUAAGCCGUGGGGAGCUGCGAAGAAGCUUUGAUCCACGGAUUUCCGA
rnacentral:misc_RNA from 1 species